rfam:Sus scrofa isolate TJ Tabasco breed Duroc chromosome 14, whole genome shotgun sequence.
GGAUGUGAGGGCCAUCUGGCUGAGACAUCUAUCACCCCGCUGAUGGCCAGGGUUGAUUCGGCUGAUCUGGCUGGCUAGGCAGGCAUCCCCUUCCUCCCUCACCACUCCAUGUGUGUCCCUCCCGAAGCUGCACGCUUGGUCGAAGGGGACGACCGUCCCUGACAGAGGAGGACCAUUCUUCAGUCAAGGGCAUGAGAGUAGCUGCACUCCCUGCUAGAACCUCCAAACGAGCUCUCCAGAAAACAUGUACCGGCACGCAGACAUGGGAAACAUGGACACAUGCCCUCCAGCUAGCUCCCCUGCU